CCACCAGACUCCUACGGGAGGCAGCAGUGGGGGAUAUUGCACAAUGGGGGAAACCCUGAUGCAGCGACGCCGCGUGGGUGAAGAAGUAUUUCGGUAUGUAAAGCCCUAUCAGCAGGGAAGAAAGAAGACGGUACCUGACUAAGAAGCCCCGGCUAACUACGUGCCAGCAGCCGCGGUAAUACGUAGGGGGCGAGCGUUAUCCGGAUUCACUGGGUGUAAAGGGAGCGUAGACGGCCGUGCAAGCCAGGAGUGAAAGCCCGGGGCCCAACCCCGGGACUGCUCUUGGAACUGUGCGGCUGGAGUGCGGGAGGGGCAGGCGGAAUUCCUGGUGUAGCGGUGAAAUGCGUAGAUAUUAGGAGGAACACCAGUGGCGAAGGCGGCCUGCUGGGCUUUUACUGACGCUGAGGCUCGAAAGUGUGGGGAGCAAACAGGAUUAGAUACCCGCGUA
rnacentral:rRNA from 1 species